rnacentral:rRNA from 1 species
GAUGAACGCUGGCGGCGUGCCUAAUACAUGCAAGUCGAGCGAACGGACGAGAAGCUUGCUUCUCUGAUGUUAGCGGCGGACGGGUGAGUAACACGUGGAUAACCUACCUAUAAGACUGGGAUAACUUCGGGAAACCGGAGCUAAUACCGGAUAAUAUUUUGAACCGCAUGGUUCAAAAGUGAAAGACGGUCUUGCUGUCACUUAUAGAUGGAGCCGCGCUGCAUUAGCUAGUUGGUAAGGUAACGGCUUACCAAGGCAACGAUGCAUAGCCGACCUGAGAGGGUGAUCGGCCACACUGGAACUGAGACACGGUCCAGACUCCUACGGGAGGCAGCAGUAGGGAAUCUUCCGCAAUGGGCGAAAGCCUGACGGAGCAACGCCGCGUGAGUGAUGAAGGUCUUCGGAUCGUAAAACUCUGUUAUUAGGGAAGAACAUAUGUGUAAGUAACUGUGCACAUCUUGACGGUACCUAAUCAGAAAGCAACGGCUAACUACGUG